UUCCUGGUGGCUCAGAGGGUAAAGCAUCUGCCUACAAUGCAGGAGACCUGGGUUUGAUCCCUGGGCUGGGAA
rnacentral:tRNA from 1 species